rnacentral:rRNA from 1 species
CCUACGGGAGGCAGCAGUGAGGAAUAUUGGUCAAUGGACGAGAGUCUGAACCAGCCAAGUAGCGUGAAGGAUGACUGCCCUAUGGGUUGUAAACUUCUUUUAUAAAGGAAUAAAACGAGGCACGUGUGCCUUUUUGCAUGUACUUUAUGAAUAAGGAUCGGCUAACUCCGUGCCAGCAGCCGCGGUAAUACGGAGGAUCCGAGCGUUAUCCGGAUUUAUUGGGUUUAAAGGGAGCGUAGAUGGGUUGUUAAGUCAGUUGUGAAAGUUUGCGGCUCAACCGUAAAAUUGCAAUUGAUACUGGCAGUCGUGAGUACAGUUGAGGUAAGCGGAAUUCGUGGUGUAGCGGUGAAAUGCUUAGAUAGCACGAAGAACCCCGAUUGCGAAGGCAGCUUACUAACCUGUGACUGACAUUGAUGCUCGAAAGUGUGGGUAUCAAACAGGAUUAGAUACCCUUGUAGUC